rnacentral:rRNA from 1 species
UCGAGAAUUUUGGGCAAUGGACGAAAGUCUGACCCAGCAAUGCCGCGUGCGGGAUGAAGGUCUUCGGAUUGUAAACCGCUGUCGAGGGGGACGAAAUAUGACGGUACCCCUGGAGGAAGCCACGGCUAACUACGUGCCAGCAGCCGCGGUAAUACGUAGGUGGCGAGCGUUGUUCGGAUUUAUUGGGCGUAAAGGGUCCGCAGGGGGUUGAUUAAGUCUGACGUGAAAUCGCUGAGCUCAACUCAGAAAAUGCGUUGGAGACUGGUUGACUAGAGUGUUGGAGAGGUAAUUGGAAUUCCAGGUGUAGCGGUGGAAUGCGUAGAUAUCUGGAAGAACAUCGAAAGCGAAGGCAGAUUACUGGACAACAACUGACCCUCAGGGACGAAAGCAUGGGGAGCAAACA